AAAAAAACAAGUUCUCUAAAAAAAAUUUUCUCUCCCCCUCCAGUCCAUAGCCCAGAAUCCGGCGAACAGGGCCGCCACGUCGCCGUGGAGCCGGCGUCGCGCUGGCCACCGUGCACGGUGGCCGAAAAUUUCAAAAAAAGGUAAAAUUUUUAUUUUUAUUUUUAUACGUUCUUGCACUUAUAGAGAAAGAAAGAAAUGGCUAAUGCGUUUAAAAGAAAAAAAACGAAAUAAAAAAAAUCACCUUGAAACUUAGUUUUUUUUCUUUUAUUGAUAUUUGUUUUUUUGUGUGACAAAAACGGAAGAAGAGCCCCCAAAAUCUCGUAGAGAAAAAUACAAAAAAAUAGAGCCCCCAUUACAUUUUUGUUUUCGGCUUUUAUAGCCUAUUUUACUACUGUUUGUUUCUGCUACUUCUCUUGUUUGUUUGCAGGUCUGGAGGCGCAAGUGGGAGACUUGACGUGCGGCGCGACGGGUGGCAGUGGCAGGGCUAGGGCGGCGCCUGCUAGUCAAAAGACCCUAGGUGCGGCGCACCUAGGGUUUGAAAAUUUUGUUGUUUCUGAUUUGUUUCUGAUUUGAGUUUCUGGGCUAGGGUUAGAUUUGGGCUUAUUGGGCUUUUUCUGAUUUGGGCUGUGGGUUUGUUAUUGGGUCAGGUGGGUUUGGAAUUGGGCCAUUCAGGUUUGGGCUGGUGGGUAAGGUUUAGUUUGGGUUAGGGGUUAAUUGGGUUGUUUGUAAUUGGGCCCCGGGUCAAAAAUUGGGCCCUACAAUCUUAAAUCCCGAAACGAGAAUAAGCACCAAAUAAUUUUAUUUACUUAGAAAUUUAGAAAUUUUUGAUUGUCUAGGUUUUAGAAAAGAAAUCGUAUUCCGUAAGUUGGAAAAUGAUCUUUUUUAAUUCCCGAGAUAAUUUAAAAAAUGUGUUUUUGAAAAUUGGUUCGCAUAUUUGGAUUUAUCGAAAAGAAAUCAAAAUCACGUAAGUUAGGGAACGACCUCUCGAAUUCCAAAAUAUGAAAUAUUGC
rnacentral:lncRNA from 1 species